CCGAAUGGGGAAACCCAGUGUGACUCGUCACACUAUCAUUAACUGAAUCCAUAGGUUAAUGAGGCGAACCGGGGGAACUGAAACAUCUAAGUACCCCGAGGAAAAGAAAUCAACCGAGAUUCCCCCAGUAGCGGCGAGCGAACGGGGAGGAGCCCAGAGCCUGAAUCAGCAUGUGUGUUAGUGGAAGCGUCUGGAAAGGCGCGCGAUACAGGGUGACAGCCCCGUACACAAAAGCGCAUGUGCUGUGAGCUCGAUGAGUAGGGCGGGACACGUGGUAUCCUGUCUGAAUAUGGGGGGACCAUCCUCCAAGGCUAAAUACUCCUGACUGACCGAUAGUGAACCAGUACCGUGAGGGAAAGGCGAAAAGAACCCCGGCGAGGGGAGUGAAAAAGAACCUGAAACCGUGUACGUACAAGCAGUGGGAGCACAGGUUUACCAGGGGUUUACCUGUGUGACUGCGUACCUUUUGUAUAAUGGGUCAGCGACUUAUAUUCUGUAGCAAGGUUAACCGAAUAGGGGAGCCGGAGGGAAACCGAGUCUUAAUUGGGCGUUAAGUUGCAGGGUAUAGACCCGAAACCCGGUGAUCUAGCCAUGGGCAGGUUGAAGGUUGGGUAACACUAACUGGAGGACCGAACCGACUAAUGUUGAAAAAUUAGCGGAUGACCUGUGGCUGGGGGUGAAAGGCCAAUCAAACCGGGAGAUAGCUGGUUCUCCCCGAAAGCUAUUUAGGUAGCGCCUCGUGAAUUCAUCUCCGGGGGUAGAGCACUGUUUCGGCUAGGGGGCCAUCCCGGCUUACCAACCCGAUGCAAACUGCGAAUACCGGAGAAUGUUAUCACGGGAGACACACGGCGGGUGCUAACGUCCGUCGUGAAGAGGGAAACAACCCAGACCGCCAGCUAAGGUCCCAAAGUCAUGGUUAAGUGGGAAACGAUGUGGGAAGGCCCAGACAGCCAGGAUGUUGGCUUAGAAGCAGCCAUCAUUUAAAGAAAGCGUAAUAGCUCACUGGUCGAGUCGGCCUGCGCGGAAGAUGUAACGGGGCUAAACCAUGCACCGAAGCUGCGGCAGCGACACUCAGGUGUAGAAACUCAGGUGUUGUUGGGUAGGGGAGCGUUCUGUAAGCCUGCGAAGGUGGCCUGUGAGGGUUGCUGGAGGUAUCAGAAGUGCGAAUGCUGACAUAAGUAACGAUAAAGCGGGUGAAAAGCCCGCUCGCCGGAAGACCAAGGGUUCCUGUCCAACGUUAAUCGGGGCAGGGUGAGUCGACCCCUAAGGCGAGGCCGAAAGGCGUAGUCGAUGGGAAACGGGUUAAUAUUCCCGUACUUGGUGUUACUGCGAAGGGGGGACGGAGAAGGCUAUGUUGGCCGGGCGACGGUUGUCCCGGUUUAAGCGUGUAGGUGUGUGUUCCAGGUAAAUCCGGUUCACUUUAACACUGAGGCGUGAUGACGAGGCACUACGGUGCUGAAGCAACAAAUGCCCUGCUUCCAGGAAAAGCCUCUAAGCAUCAGGUAACAUCAAAUCGUACCCCAAACCGACACAGGUGGUCAGGUAGAGAAUACCAAGGCGCUUGAGAGAACUCGGGUGAAGGAACUAGGCAAAAUGGUGCCGUAACUUCGGGAGAAGGCACGCUGACACGUAGGUGAAGUGAUUUACUCAUGGAGCUGAAGUCAGUCGAAGAUACCAGCUGGCUGCAACUGUUUAUUAAAAACACAGCACUGUGCAAACACGAAAGUGGACGUAUACGGUGUGACGCCUGCCCGGUGCCGGAAGGUUAAUUGAUGGGGUCAGCGCAAGCGAAGCUCCUGAUCGAAGCCCCGGUAAACGGCGGCCGUAACUAUAACGGUCCUAAGGUAGCGAAAUUCCUUGUCGGGUAAGUUCCGACCUGCACGAAUGGCGUAAUGAUGGCCAGGCUGUCUCCACCCGAGACUCAGUGAAAUUGAACUCGCUGUGAAGAUGCAGUGUACCCGCGGCAAGACGGAAAGACCCCGUGAACCUUUACUAUAGCUUGACACUGAACAUUGAGCCUUGAUGUGUAGGAUAGGUGGGAGGCUUUGAAGCGUGGACGCCAGUCUGCGUGGAGCCGACCUUGAAAUACCACCCUUUAAUGUUUGAUGUUCUAACGUGGACCCGUAAUCCGGGUUGCGGACAGUGUCUGGUGGGUAGUUUGACUGGGGCGGUCUCCUCCUAAAGAGUAACGGAGGAGCACGAAGGUUGGCUAAUCCUGGUCGGACAUCAGGAGGUUAGUGCAAUGGCAUAAGCCAGCUUGACUGCGAGCGUGACGGCGCGAGCAGGUGCGAAAGCAGGUCAUAGUGAUCCGGUGGUUCUGAAUGGAAGGGCCAUCGCUCAACGGAUAAAAGGUACUCCGGGGAUAACAGGCUGAUACCGCCCAAGAGUUCAUAUCGACGGCGGUGUUUGGCACCUCGAUGUCGGCUCAUCACAUCCUGGGGCUGAAGUAGGUCCCAAGGGUAUGGCUGUUCGCCAUUUAAAGUGGUACGCGAGCUGGGUUUAGAACGUCGUGAGACAGUUCGGUCCCUAUCUGCCGUGGGCGCUGGAGAACUGAGGGGGGCUGCUCCUAGUACGAGAGGACCGGAGUGGACGCAUCACUGGUGUUCGGGUUGUCAUGCCAAUGGCACUGCCCGGUAGCUAAAUGCGGAAGAGAUAAGUGCUGAAAGCAUCUAAGCACGAAACUUGCCCCGAGAUGAGUUCUCCCUGAGACUU
rnacentral:rRNA from 1 species